rnacentral:rRNA from 1 species
GACGAACGCUGGCGGCGUGCUUAACACAUGCAAGUCGAAUGGUGAAGCGCCUUCCUUUUUGGUGGGUGUGGAUGAGUGGCGAACGGGUGAGUAACACGUGAGUAACCUGCCCCCUUCUUCUGGAUAACCGCAUGAAAGUGUGGCUAAUACGGGAUAUUCUGGGUCUGUCGCAUGAUGGGUCUGGGAAAGAUAUUGUUUCGGUGGGGGAUGGGCUCGCGGCCUAUCAGCUUGUUGGUGGGGUGAUGACCUACCAAGGCGGUGACGGGUAGCCGGCCUGAGAGGGUGGACGGUCACACUGGGACUGAGACACGGCCCAGACUCCUACGGGAGGCAGCAGUGGGGAAUAUUGCACAAUGGGCGCAAGCCUGAUGCAGCGACGCCGCGUGAGGGAUGGAGGCCUUCGGGUUGUGAACCUCUUUCGCCAGUGAAGCAGGCCUGCCUCGUUUGUGGGUGGGUUGACGGUAGCUGGAUAAGAAGCGCCGGCUAACUACGUG